rnacentral:rRNA from 1 species
UACGAAGGGGGCUAGCGUUGUUCGGAAUUACUGGGCGUAAAGCGUGCGCAGGCGGUUGUGUAAGUCUGUCGUGAAAUCCCCGGGCUCAACCUGGGAAUUGCGAUGGAGACUGCACGGCUAGAGUGUGUCAGAGGGGGGUAGAAUUCCACGUGUAGCAGUGAAAUGCGUAGAUAUGUGGAGGAACACCGAUGGCGAAGGCAGCCCCCUGGGAUAACACUGACGCUCAUGCACGAAAGCGUGGGGAGCAAACAGG